AUUACCAAUCGUGCAUCCAGCAGCAUCCUUGCAAACAGAGCAGAGGCAGCCGGAGGAGAAAUCAGCUCUGGGACCCAAGUCAUUUCUUUCUAAUUAAAAGCAUCUCUUAAGUCUAGACGUGGAUUAACACAAACUCCUCUGAAAGACAGAACGUAAUUUGGACAAUGAACAUGAUUAAACUCUCUGAAUAUCUAAGAGCACUUCUUCAGAGAUUGGGAAAAACAAAAUUAUCUUUCUUAGAAAUGUAAAGAAUUCUCUGGAGUGGAUCACGGCUGCUCUUGAAGCUGUUCUGCAAGGACUGAACUACAAGCGGUCGCAUCUGGGACUCAGAUCGUGUGGUCUCUGAUGAUCUUCCAAACAGAUCUUACCCACUGCAGUCUUGUGCGUGUGUAGAUUUUAAAGAGGGCGAACAGCACCAUAGGAUAAUUGCGUUCUUGACCGGUCUGCCAUUCAUAUCAUUUAAGCACAUGUUUGGCGCGUGCUCACACACCAGACCCUGCGGAAAUAGCUGGACACACCAUUGCAGCAGGUGCUUGUCUCAUGGAGCAGCUCAGAGUGUGCUGUGGACACAGAACCCCAAAGCUCGCUGACAUCACAGCUCUGCAAGUGCCAAGUGUGCCCUCUGAGGGGCUAGCACUUCUCCAGGGUCUGUUAAUGCCUUUCUAAGGGAACUGAAUGUCAAGUCCAAGCGUUACUUAUUGAGAGGCAUAGCAAGUUUACUUUUUAAAUCCUUAAACCUGACAUUUCUCCUUCUAUGUAUUGGGUCACAGAGAGGCCUGAAACCAAGAGUCCCAUCCUGGCCCUGCUCUCCCAGU
rnacentral:lncRNA from 1 species